rnacentral:rRNA from 1 species
UAGCUUCAGCGAUGGAUCGGUCGGUUCGCGUAUCGAUGAAAAACGCAGCUAGCUGCGUUACUUACCACGAAUUGCAGACGCUUAGAGUGUGAAAUUUUGAGCACGUCUGGUUCAGGGUUG